rnacentral:rRNA from 1 species
GACGUAGGGGGCGAGCGUUGUCCGGAUUCAUUGGGCGUAAAGAGCGCGUAGGCGGCCCGGAAAGUGGGGUGUGAAAACCCGAGGCUCAACCUCGGGCGUGCAUUCCAAACUCCUGGGCUUGAGGCAGGUAGGGGAGAUCGGAAUUCCUGGUGUAGCGGUGAAAUGCGCAGAUAUCAGGAAGAACACCCGUGGCAAAAGCGGCUCUCUGGAACGGUACUGACGCUGAGACGCGAAAGCGUGGGGAGCGAACAGG